UACGUAGGGUGCAAGCGUUGUCCGGAAUUAUUGGGCGUAAAGAGCGUGUAGGCGGCCAGGUAGGUCAGCUGUGAAAACUCGAGGCUCAACCUCGAGACGCCGGUUGAAACCAUCUGGCUAGAGUCCGGAAGAGGAGAGUGGAAUUCCUGGUGUAGCGGUGAAAUGCGCAGAUAUCAGGAAGAACACCCGUGGCUAAGGCGGCUCUCUAGUACGUGACUGACGCUGAGACGCGAAAGCGUGGGGAGCGAACAGG
rnacentral:rRNA from 1 species